rfam:Nadsonia fulvescens var. elongata DSM 6958 unplaced genomic scaffold NADFTscaffold_2, whole genome shotgun sequence.
GUCACUGUGGCCGAGUGGUUAAGGCGUUGCCCUGCUAUUGACUUUACGGUUGAAGCAGCUUAGGCAAUGGGUUUUACCUUCGCAGGUUCGAAUCCUGUCUGUGACG